GCGUCGUAUUGUUGCGCUCCUUAUUACAAAGUUUCAGACAAUUCGACCGAGAAAAACCCCCCAUGCUGAAUCAUGGAAGUGCCCAAGUGGUUCUGCACCCUACGCGUUCCUAGAUGUCAAAUCAUUUUGAUAUGAAUUCGGACCACUUCUGAACCACUGAAAUUGUACCACAAUGAACGCAUUUGUUUCGCCUGGAAAAAGGAAAAGAAAGCUAUCAAUAAACCAUUCAUCUUUUUGUUUUGAUCUCAA
rnacentral:lncRNA from 1 species